CAUUGGUUCAUCAGGCAAGAUUGUUUUACUAGUAUUCAAGAAACCCCUCUUAAAAUGUUGUCCUGCAAUAUUAUAGUAGAAAACUCUUUGCUUGUUUUGUUGGAAGGUUGAUCUAGGAAUGGAUACCUGGGACUGAAAAGGAUACAAUUUGGGGUCGAUCUAAACCCAGUUAAGAGCCUAAACUGCAUACAACACCGGAAUCUCUCCUUAGACCUCUGCUCUAUUUCCUUUGUGUGGAGGCCAUUGUGAACCAAACUAUAACUAUUGUGUUAUAUGUAUAGGUCAAGAACAAUUGUUUUAUGGGAGAAUCAGAGUACUAGUUAUUGACAUAGAAGUGCUUUCCUUUACUUGAUUCCUAACCAUUUGAAAAUAACAUAUCCACAUUUGAGUAACAAGCACGUUCAUAUGGUUUUAAACAAGAGUUGCUCAUUGCUAUGUAAUAGUUGCCGAUGGAAUUGAUGUGCUCAUAUUAUCCUAUAUUUCUAAGCCCUUUAAUCUUGAUAUUUGUGUUUAGUUUCCUUAUUUGUGAUUGAUUUACGUUAUUUUAGUGUUCUUGUAGGUUUGUGUCAUAAAGAGAAGAAAAUGAGCUAAAACGAGCAAAUAAGGAUUGAAAGGCGACUACAGUCCCAAGUGCCAAAAUCUGCCUAUGCAGAACAUCCAACUUCGCCAAAUUACAAGGAACUACUCAUAUCAAAUCAGACAAUGAGCCUUAUGUCAUUGGAAAGCUAUGGAAGUCUACUUUCUGUACAAUUUUACGGAUCUCGAUUUGGAUACUUGUGGAGCGAGUUAUGAUCAUUUGAAUGAAGAUAGGUCAGAUCAGAAAAUCUGCUCGGAAUUACAAGCUUUUGUGGAGAACUCAAGAUCUAUGGCACAAGAUCAUUAACCCUAAAGCUUCAAGGACAAUAACGCAGAUGAGGAUUCAAUGAGUACAUGUAUUCCUAGUUCUACAAGGGAUAUCUCAAGGUUUUCCCAUUCCAUAUCAAGAAAGGAGUCUGAAUCCAAGUCUUACAAGGAAAUAUGAAGCCAAAGAUGAGCAGGAAACUUUUCUAUAUAAGAGAGCACGAAUUUCACAUGAAAGGGAGGUCUCGAGAGCACAUUGAAGACGCCUAAAUGAGCAGAGACCAUCCAUCCAUCCAUCCAUCCACCCUUCACCUUUUCGUUCUUUUUAUGUUUUUGUUAUGUUUUAUUUAGUCAUGUUUAGUUAAACCUUUUCUAGGGUUAGGAUGAUUCCCUAGCAUGAUUGUUUAUGUUUUUGAUGAUUAAUUAAUAGAUUUAUAGUUUCUUAAUGAUGAAUGCUUGAUCACUGGUUGAAUUUUAUGCUUGAUGUUUAAGUUCUUUGAUUGAUCACCUUAGGGCUUUGCAUUUAGUAAUUGGAAGAUAAAUUUGAAGCAGAGAUGCAAUAUAAUUUAUAUAGCUUCUUGUGGUUAAGUGUGGUGAAUUACAUUGUUGCUUGAGAAAGAAUAAUGGUUUGCUUGAUUCCCUUAUUUUCUAGUACGUAAUGAGUCCUGCAUGUUAAAUUUAUACCUGAGAAGGAUAAACUGCAUAGUUAGGAUAUACGACCUUUACCCGAGAGGGAGAGCAUCAUACACUUAAGGAAAAUUAUGGUCUAGAGUACCUGAGAAGGACUUAGAUACGGGAAUUGUCAUCUAGAGAAACGAAAGAGUCUGUUAGUUGCAUCAAAGCAUACAUAAGAUUGUUAGUGGUUGAUUCUGACGCCCUAGAUUCAUUUAUCAUUAUUUGUUUACUUAUUUUAUUGUUUCUUUGUUUCUUUAAAUUGUUAUCGUGAUUUGUGUGUUUUAGUAUAGUUAGUUUAGGUAUUUCAUAAUUUGAAUUGAACUAAUAUCCUCGUGGGAACGAUAACCCCUUCUCUUCCAUUUCACUAUACUACAUCCACCCUGUAUACUUGCAGGAAAUCCACCAAGUUUUUAUCGAGUUGGUUUAUCUCUAUCUGGAAGAAACAUGCAUGGGAGUUAGAAAUUAGAAUCUACACUCGAAUAUCCUUCUGGGAAUUCGAAUAUGACCAUAUUGGUUACACCUUAGGAAAGUAGGAAUCAAAAUAUCAAAGCCAUGCCGGCUAAAGUUGGCGUGACUUGCCGAUCGAACUUGCACCCUGGAUACUUCUUAUUCUCAUAGUCGCAAUGUCAUAUCACCUAAUUCGACUCUUACAAAACUUCAUGAACAAACAAGCACUACAUACCAUAGAUUAUAAUGCAUCCCCCCUCCAUUAUAUCUCAGUUGAGACUCGUGGUGGGUAGUGCCUUACUUGGAUGACAAUGUGACCAAAUUGGUAACCAAUAAUGUGAAGGUCGUUUAGGUCCAGAUUAACUAUUUUUAUGCAACAAACAAACUGGUUUUUGUUAUAGAUUGAGACUUCACUAGUCCCUCAAUUGGGUGGCAGGUACUAGGAGAAACAAACGAACAAGGAAAUUAUAAAACCCACAACGUUUUGAAGUCGACAGAGAGCUACAUAUAACAUAUCUAAUAUGCUUUCAUAUGAUUUUUCUGCAAAUUGGAGUAUUCUGAAUGACAAGAGGACAGCCUCAUCAAUAAGUGUCCCGUUUGAUAAAGACAUUGGAUUAAGAUAAUUACAAAGCUAAUGGUCGGACAAAACUUUGUGUACACGUACAUAUCACAAUGGUUAUGUAAGAAUUACUUGAAUGAUUGACCUAACUUAGCCCUUGUAAGUUGUAGCAAACAAUUGGGGGGAAGUUUUCUCUCUUUAAUUUCAUCACUAACAGUCUAAGUGUCUAACACAGUGAUCAUUCUCAAACAAAGAAAAAAAAAUGUCUAACACAGUGAUGCUAUAGAUUAAUUAAGCAGGAAAAUUAGUAAAGGUUGUCCACUUAAUAUUUGAGUAUUAGCUAAUUUGAUGGCGUGCUAUUUACUUUGGUUGGUGCUUGUUAUAUAAUGGGGUGACAUAUAUAAACAUCAUCGAGUAUUUUGAUUUGAUCACUUAAACCUGUCCCAGAAGGAACUAUCUGAAGCAACAGCUUAGCUUUGGAAGGAAUAAUAAGUUGGUUCAUGAACAGAUUGGAUGGGUAUCAGAUAUAGGUGAUACACUGAUUCUAAAUUCAAUCUAUUCACAUUGCCGAAAACAAAAUGUUUGACAUAAACAAAUUGAAUCAUACAUUCAUUUAUAACUCAUUGUGGCUGUUGGAAACAUGUACAAAUCGAAGACAUGAAAAAUGGGUCUGUAGGUAGAAGCUUUCUCUUCCCACUUGAACUAUAGUACGUAGCUGCAACAUGGCACAACUUUAGCUUCAACCGUUAAUCUAUCUCUUUCUGUGCACAACUUUGUCUAUCACUACUCACUAGUACUAUGGCUUCAACAUUUGCCUUGCCAUCAUCAUCACCUUUUGUAGCAACCAAAACAUUGGCUUCAGGCCUUCAGCUAAGCCAACUGGUAUUUCACACUCAGCCAGCUUUCCUUCACCACCACGUAGGCUGCCGGCGCUGCGAGCUCAGGCCAGUGGAGAUGGCAGUGUGGACGUGGCUGUGAAUCAGGGUACGUAGUAGUAACAGAGGGACUCAAAUGGAGAAGAGGCCUAGUGCUAGAAGGUUGGCUGUGGAUGUUUCACCUUUUGGUCUAUUAGAUCCCAUGACACCAAUGAGGACAAUGCGCCAGAUGCUGGACACAAUGGACCGUAUUUUCGAGGACACUAUGUGAUCCUCCCCGGCACCAGAAGCCGAUCAGGAGGUGAGAUUCGUGCGUAUUGGGACAUCGAAGACGACGAGAAUGAGAUCAAAAUGCGGUUCGACAUGCCAGGGCUCUCUAAAGAGGAUGUCAAGGUGUCCAUUGAGGAUGACGUGCUUGUUACAAAAGGGUGAGCAAAACAUGGAAGAGGACAAGGAUGAUGCAUGGUCUAGUAGGAGCUUCAGUUCCUACGACACACGACUUCAGCUUCCGGAUAACUGUGACAAGAGCAAAGUGAACGCAGAGCUCAAGAAUGGUGUUCUCAGUUCUCUACAUGACUACAUCGCCAUUCCUAAGACCAAAGUAGAGCACAAGGUCGUUGAUGUAGAAAUCAAGUGUAACAGAUAAAAAGCGUGAACCUAAAUUUCACUGAACCUAGACUUCGUAAACUUUCCUAAUAAUUAAUGGUAAUUAUAGACUUCUGUCUUGCUGAUCAAAAAAAAAAAUGGAGGCAUACAAAUAAGAGGUUAACUGGCCACCUGUCAUUUGUUCAUGUGGCUUUACAGUUUAUCCCUAUUCAAUUCAAAGCUUCGCAUUUGACCUUGAUUAGUGCUAGCAUAUUGUGAAUGAAAAUAAUGCUGGAAUCAUAUUUGAUCUUUAUAGUGUGGGGAGAAAUUAUGGUAAACCGGUAUAGUUGAUGCUUGCAUACAAACAAAGCCAAACCUGAUUUUCAUAGGGAAGUACUUAGAAGACGCCUAGGCAUUAGGCAAAGCGAUUUUGAGAAAGCGAUUCUCAUAUGUUGGAAAGCUCCCCUUCCAGCAGCACAGUAUAAUAAGCAUGCUUAUGUCUAGGAUAUGAGCAAAACUGCAAUUGAACCUUGGGGAUUCUUCUCGUAGAUAUCGGCAGAAGUUGUUCGACUAAUGAUAUUGAAGAAAGCUUUUCUCAGACGAUCAAUCCGUUGGUAAAACUUGCUCUACAAUCUUAAGAAAACCAUUUUCUUUUUGGCGAAAGAGCACAAUAUACAAGAGAACCAAGUUCAGGGAUACAAAAAGACAGCUAACCAGCAUCAAAAUUCAGGAACAGACUCCUGAGAACAAAUAUCAAAGUUACAACUCGUGUAAAGUUCUAAAUCACAAUGGGAAGCUCUCCCAGACAUUGAUUUGCCUAUAUUGCUAAAACUAUAGGAAUCAAAAUAUCAAAGCCAGCUAAAGUUGACCCAACUUGGCGAACUCGUACCAUAUGAUAAACUUUUGGACAUGAAAGCAGCUCUUACCCUAAGCACAUUAUGCCUCCCACUUCAUUAAGGGUGCCUAACAAAAUCUCUCCACUAAGGUAACUAGACAACUAACACACUUCGAUUCUUGUAUAAUUUACCCCCAGUGCGCGAGAGAGGAGAAGACACAGUUUACAAAUAUAAAUUUCAAGACUUGUAUGUCUGCCAAGAAUGUAACAGACUUGCCUAUUACGCAGCAGAUGAUCACAACUUGUAAAUACUUGCUUUGGAUGCUUUGGAUUGUGUAAAGCAAAAAGACUAAGCUAGAAAGUUGAAUUCAAAUCAUAGAGAAGUUCAGGUACUUAAGGAUAUAACCUCAUUCCUCUUAUAAAAACACAUUCACAUCACUACAGAAUUUCCAAGAGCCGAACAGUGUUGGCCAAUAAGUUGGAUUCUGACUAUCAAUCACUUUAAGAUUACUUCUUUUGCAAAGAAACCACACAACCCAUAUAUCAACCAAUAAAACUAAAACCAACACAUUACUUACAAACAAUCAAACAAAGCAAUGAGAUUUUUAUAGAGUCAUUCAAAACAGAUAGAACAGAACAAACACAUCCUCUCUAAAUUUGAUUUAUAGUGUGGGGAGAAGGUAUGGACGUACCCCAUACUUACAUAGAAACAAUGCCAAACCUGAUGUUAUUUAAGAAAGUUUGGCAUUUCUUCUGCGUAAGGUUCUUUCUUUUGUUCAACUAAUGUUAAUUAAGAAAGUUUUGUCCAACGAUCAAUCCGUUGGCAAAACUUGUUCUACAAUCUUAAGAAAACCAUUUACCUUUUUUCUUUCUUUGACGAAAGAGAACUAUAUAUAUUAACAGAACCAAUAAGUUCAGGGAUACAAAAAGAUAGCUAACCAGCAUCAAAAUCCACAGGAACAGACUCCUGAGAACUGAUGUGGGAACUAUAAUGAGAGGAAUCUAAUGGUGGGAAGUUUGUAAUUUUUGGAGAAGUUUUGGUUAGGUUUGAGAUUUUUCAAAGAUUGAAGAUUUUGGCGGUUGUUAAAAUAAAAAUCCGGCCGUUGGAUUAGCAUGAAUUAAACUUUAAAAUGUUGUUUUAAGGCUAUUGAUAUUUGUGGUGAAGUUCGGGCCAUAAUAUAUUAAAAGUGGAGAAGUUGGGUAAGGGAGAAGAAUUUAUAGGCUCACUUUUAUUCUGGUAUUUUUAUUAAAGCAUCAAUUUAGUUUUGAGAUUUAAUAUUAUCUACUGUUCAGGACGUGAGGAGCUCGUGUGGAGGAAGCCUAGGAUCGUCGGCAGGCAUAGCCGAGCACUGUGAGUGGACUUUUGAUUUUAACAUCAUGCAUGCGCUAAAGUUUCCUUAAUUUCAAAGGCAUAUUGGAGUUUUAUUAUUUUCUUUGGAAUAAUGAGUUCCAUUUGUUUUCUAGAACUCUUGCUAAUUUUAUUUGACAUGUGGGACAUGUCAAGUGUUUUAUAUUAUUACAACAUCCGUGAUUAUUACGUAAUAUUUCUAAGUACAGUACAGUUGGGAAUUGUACUGUGCGCUAUUGAUUUAUUAUAUUUUUGGGGAAGUGUUGUUCUUAUCAUUUCUAUUAUUUUUCUUCACCAUAAAAUGGUUGAUAUAUAUAUAUAUAUAUUUAUUAUUGCUAGCUAGCCAUUAUUAGCUAUCCUCACCAUAGGUGAGGAGAGCACUUAGUGUGGGAUGCUAUUAUAGCCUGGGAGGCACCGAUCAGUUUAUAUUUAUUGUUAGCUAGCCUUUAUUAGCGGUCCUGACCAUACGUGAGUAGAGCGCUUAGCGUGGGACGCUAUUAGAGCCUGGGAGGCUCCGACCUUAGCCUUGGAGGCUCAUCGUUAUGGUGAAACCUCUUCCCCAUUUUUAUGAUUUAAUUGAACCAAUGGGAUAGGUUCAUCACUUUUAUCCUUAAAUAUUAUUGGAAAAUUUCAAGAGUGUCAUGCAUAUAUAAAUGUUUCUCAACAGAAAAUUUGGGAAAGCAUAAACUUUGGUUUCAUUGUUUUAUAUUUAAGUUAAUAUUAUUGUUAUUUAUUUUUGUCCACUCACGCUAACGUUUUAAAUACUUCUCCUCUGGGCCUUUCGUUUUUAAUUGCCCAGUCUACAGAGCUCAAUUCGGCAAGUGUAGGAGAUGAGUCAUAUUUUCCACCUCAUCCAGUUUUCACUCAUAUGUUACCGAUUUAACCUACUUGUAUAUUUUCUCGGUUCCUUCAAUUAGUUGUUCUGAUAACCAUGGGAUGUUGUAUUAAUUUAUGGUUAUGUGUGUUAAGAGUUUAUGACUCAACAUAGAAGUGAUUUGAAAGAUUUAUUUGGUGUUGAUGUUAGAGGUUAAAUUAUGAAAUUGCUUUGAGAUAAUAUUUUGUGAUGUGGGAUGAAAUUAUGAAAAUAUUUUGUAUAUUUUCUCGGUUCCUUCAAUUAGUUACGUACUCUGAUAACCAUGGGAUGUUGUAUUAAUUUAUGGUUAUUUGUGUUAAGAGUUUAUGACUCAACGUAGAAGUGAUUUGAAAGAUUUAUUUAGUGUUGAUGUUAUGAGAGGUUAAAUUAUGAAAUUGCUUUGAGAUAAUAUUUUGUGAUGUGGUGGUUGUUUAUUUGAGGGAGCGGGUGGCUCCAGGAGAUGAUGAUUGAUUUGGUAUUAGAAGUGUUUUGUUUGGAGUUGGUUAUUUUUCCAAGUAGGGUUGUCUAUUUUCAAGGAAGGUUAUGCCAAAAUAUUGGUAGAAUUUCCCUUGAGGUGGGUCCCGCAGGGUUUAUCCCGGAUUUUCAAGGGGGAAAUCCGGGGUGAGUCAUGACAAGUCUGCACUGCGGUUUCGGCCUCAAAUCGCACCACACCGCACAACGCCCACUCCUAAACAAAAGAAGAAAUCAACAGGAAAAAAAAAACCAUGAACAAAGCCCUCAUGGGGAGCAGAGACUGCAUUCAUUGGAGAACGUGAAGCAAAGGAGGAGUAUUUUGAACCCAGCUCAAAGAACACUGCAACCUUAAAGCAAUGUUUGCCUCGGAAUAGUGAGCCUCCGCACAGUUUUUUGAAAUUGCCUUACGGACAGAUAAUUGUAUAUAACAGGCCAAAAUACUUGUAAACCUAAUGAAAUACAUUGAUAGAGGUACACUAUAGUAUACAAUCGUAUAAGUCGUCGGUUCCACCCUUGGAUCAUCUUGCACCUUGAUGUAGUUAUUCAACUAUUGUUGACUAGACAUGGGAAGGUGUGGUGUUGGGUGGAGUCGGAGCUGAGACCACACGCCUACCACGCUCAGACCUACUGUUCUCUGCAAACUUGAUACUCUGCUGGUGCAGACCCUUCUGCUUCUCUUCCUCGGUCCACUCAGACCCAUAAUAGAACUCUUCAGUAGAUUUCUCGACGUGUUGAGAAGCUGGGAGGAACAUGCUUCCCCACUGUGGAAAAUGAACCAAAGUCACUGGUAGAGUGCAGCACACUAUCAUAACCCCCAUGAAAGAUAGACCAGUGCCUGUGGAGAAGGCUGAGGAUGAGAAAAACACAAGUUGGGUCAGUCCGGAGCCAAAGUUGCCGCCAGCACCGGUGAGACCUGAUAUGAUCCCAAGAGAUCGUCGAGAAAUGAAUGGGAUGAUUCCGAAAGUUGCGCCACAGGCGGCCUGAGCGCCUACGGAGAAGAGGAUCAUGGCGGUGAUGGCGACGGGGAGUGUGUUGGCCCGGCCGAGCCAGAUGCAGAAGACUCCUCCUAGGGUUUGUAGGAUCCAGAGUGUCCAUAGCCUGCCCCUCAUUCCAAAAUACCUGGCUGCUCGAUCGGAAAUGAACCCACCAAAGGGUCGAGCUAAGAAGUUGGCCAUACCGAAUGUGGCGGCAAUGAGCCCGGCAGUGUGGAGCUUGAGGUUGAACCUAUUAUUAGAUGGUUUGACAUUUGGUUAGGUUUAGCUUGCCUUUUAAUUACUUGUUAGGAUCUACUUGUUAUCCAAAUAGGAUUUAGAAUCAAUUAAGAACAUAAAUAAGAUUCAGAAUCAACAAACCUGUCAUAGAAAUAUUCAGCAAUGACAUUAUCAGUCGACAACUCAACCCCCAUAGAGUAGCCAUAGAGAAGGACGAAGAUCCACGUCCUGUAGUUUGUGAUAGCGUACCACAACACCUGUACAAUUUAAACAACAGAUUCGGUAACCUUGAAUUGAAUCUCCUAAUUAAUUAAGUUUUAACAGAUUCUUAUAAGUUUUAACAGUAGAAACAAGAAAAACAAACAAAUACCCUAAUUAAACUGACCUUUUUAAAUUCAUCUUUGGCAACUUCACCCUUCUUUUGUAGGGCACCAAGAUUCCCGUCUGGCAAGUCUUGGCCAAGAGUCAGGACCAUGAUCCCCAUAAUGAUAUGAAGCCAACCAGGAAUGAAGAAGGCAAUUCUCCAAGCAGUGAAAGGAGUCGCUCCGGCUCUGCCGAUGAUAUCAAACACAAUAGGCAUCAAGAGCUGAGUGGCGCCACCACCCAUGUUACCCCAACCUGCUGCUGUUCCAUUGACCAAACCUAUGAUCUUGCUGUUGAACAUGGUGCUCAUCCAGUACUGGCAAGAAACAAAUGUAGCAAGAGAGAAACCAAUCAUGAAUCUCACGGCUAAGUAACCCCCAGCAUCAGCAACAAAUGACAUGCAGAACACUGUGGGUGCGGUAAGCAUUAUGAGAAAUGCGCAUCCAUAUCGUGGUCCAAGUAAGUCGCAUACUGCGCCCAUUACAAGCCUAGAGAAUAUACUCCCUGUGAAACAAACAAAGAAUAGGGUGUCAAGAGAAAUAUAUUGACUUAGGGAGAGUGUUUGGAUAUACGUCCCAGAACUCAUUUUGUGUGUCAAGAAAUAUAUUGUUGAGUUUACAAAUGGUAAUGAAUGAGAUUUAUGGAGUGUAUAGAUGUCAAUAGUUUCCAAAGAGAACAAAUCUGAAAAGGAAAUUUUAGGAAACUAAUUAAGGAAAUUUCUGACCUGAAACAGAAGCGACUCCAGCAUUUCCGAUGUCUUGCUUGGUGAGGUUGAGAUUGUCUCGGAUGAUAGGGACGAGAGGAGCUGCAGCGAAAGUCGAGACAAAGCAAGUGAAGAAGGAGAUCCAAGAGAGGUGGAAGGUUCUCAUGUGAGGAUUGGCCAAAGAAAAAAGCUUGAAGACUUUAGCCUUGUGCUCAGAAUCAACUGGCAAAUCAAAUUUUGCUGUUCUAUCGGUUGGGACAAUAGGUGAAGCCACUGACAAUGCAAACGUUUGCUCUUUUCCUGUGACUCCAUGCAUGGAGCUUCCUGGUUCUCCUUCCACUUCCGCCAUUUAGGGUUUCGAGUUUUGGGGAUCUCGAGUAUGGAAGAAAGGGCCGGGAGGCAGAAACUUGUACUUGAUUAAAAUGGAGAUGUGAUGCUGUGUGAGGAAGAUAAGAAGGGAGUGUGGCUUUUAUAUAGGGCUUUGGCGUUGACAUUGUAAAUAGCUCUGAACUUCUGAAGAGUCGAGAAAGAUUCUAAAUAUAUUCUAAAAGAGUUUGUGAUUCAGUUCUCCGCAUCUGAAAUGAACAGGAAUGGUCUCAUCGUAUAUCCCAAAGGAUCACAUAACCAGUCUAAUAGGCCAACAGCUGUUUAAUUGCCUAGCCAACUGCAUACUAUAUACCUUAAUCUUAUUUGUUAAUUCUAAUGAAUAUCCUAAUUAUUCGGAAAUCUUAGCUCAGCACAUUGGUCCAUGCGCAGAAUACAAAUACCAUCAAAAGGUAUUGGUUGCAUAGAUUAAAGACAGAGAGAGAUAUUAUCUUCGCAGAUCGAUAAUACAAACAUACAUUAUGGGCAUGUCUAUGUUAUCCUUAAUCUUUCUGUAUUUCAUGAUAAAAUUCAAAUGACUAAUUAGAUACAACAUCAUUCCGUAUUAUUUUAGUUGAUUUUUGUACACUUCGCUGUGAUGGAUAUACAGUUUUUGUCAAUUUAGUACAAGAAAUCCAAGCACGUUAAUUACUUGCAUGUUAAACAAUUUAAUCAAGCAAAAUGGAGUGGAAUAUUGCACAUAAUAUUAAUUUAUUUUAUAAACCCAGCAAUUUUGUCUUCUAAUUUGCUAAAUAAUUAACCCAAUAAUACUUGUUUGGAUUGGGGUAGUUUUUCUUUGUUUAGGUGAUUACCCUUUCGGACUAGGGAAAAGAAUCAAAAGCCCUCACCCGUCACCACCAUACAAUAGUAUUAGUUUCAUCAAUCACCGCCCCCAAGUUCCCAACUGUUUUAUAUGUGUUUACAUUCAUGCUAAUUCUUAAUGUGUUCACUUUGGUCUGCAAGUAGAAGCAAUUUGCUAUAUAUUUCUUAUUGCCUAAAUCAAUCUGAUCGACCCGUGUUGAAGGAGGGACAAUAAGCACCGUUGGCUGUUAUUCACAACAGUGAUUUAUGAGCUGUAAGGUUGCAUAUAGCUAUAGGAAGUAACAGUAAUCGAGUGUUUUCUUCAUCCACAUUGUAGCCUAAUUUCCACACAUCAAAUCAUAUUUCUCUUCUUUAGCUUAAUUAUUGGAUAACGUAUGUGUACAUUUCAAACAUUGCUGUGAGUUUAUUAGAUAGUUAUGUAUGCUAUAUAGUCCGGCCGGCUAUAAAUUCCAAUCGUAUAUUGCUUAAUUUGAUGGAUUGCAUCAUUUGGAUGUCGCUCACCCUUCAAAGUUUUUCAGUAAUCGAUCUGUAGUUUAUCCAAGGAUUGCAUGUAACAACUUGGCAAUUCAUUGAAACGUCUUCUUUGCAGAAGAGAAAAAGAAGAAAAUUAAAAUUAAGAUUAACCAAAUUCGAAACCCUAGCUUUCUAUGAGCUAGACAUCCGACAUGUAUAACCAAUAAAUUAUUUCAAGUCUUACUGGCUAAACCCUGCAGAUAUAUUUAGAAAAAUUCAAACCCUACAACAUGCAAGUCAUCUAUCGAUGGCCAAUGAGAAGGAUGAUAUCGAUGAACCAUCUUCCUCUCUAAUGUAUGUUUCUUUCUUCAUUUGGAUUAGAAUUCCUCAUUUAAUUAAGAAUCCAAGUCAUACAUUGUCAUAUACUAAAUGAUAUAUAAUUACAAACAACCUUUCAGUUACUCAAAGAGGGAUGCGGACAACAUGCACGACUUGGUCUUUGUCGGGAAUGCAUUGGAAGGGAGCUGUAUUUCCGGCGUUUCAUAAUUCCUCAGAAAGAGAGGAAGAGCUAGCUACAAAGACAAAGUGUUCUUGCUGAUAUCUUAUGAGAGCUUUACAAUUUUAAUAAGAAAAUGAGGUCGACUGUGUAUUACGUCAAUCCAAAUUGGAUCGGCUUCGCUUGGUAAGGACAAAUAGAUAAGAAUGUUGGCAGAUGUUAUAUAUGUAUGCAUAUAUAUUAUUGUGUCUGUCCGAUUCACAGAUAAUCUAACUAAAAAUAGCAGCUCUUAUUUGUCUUCAUAAAAUAGACCCUUGUACUUUUGUACUUUUCAUACAAGAGUGUUGAGAGGGCAGGAAAUAGUGAGGAAAACGAAUUCGAGAGUUGCAUAAAUUAAAGAUUACUCCACCAAGUUGGUGUUUUUCACAUUUGUCCAUUGAUUUACUCUUCUCUAAUAUUUCGAAAAGACAGAGAGAAGGAACCCUAGGGUUUCAAAGCUUGCAGCGCGGCAACUCUCUAGCUCUAGCGUUCCUAUGUCGAGCAGGGAAGUCUUCAACUUCGCUGCGCCGGUGCGCAUCAUCUUGAUGUUCGGGCAUUGGGCAUUAUACAGUGCUCAUAUGUUGAUUUUAGUAUGGGAUUUUGUUCAUUCGCUGCUAGAUCUCUUUGGUUGCUGUGCGAAGCAGAUUGUUUUUCUAAACAUAGAGGGAGGUCGACUUCAGGUAGGUAGUUGUCUGUGCGUUGCGACUGUGAUCGACAUGCAGCUAGGCUUUGCAUGCAAACCUUGAAUCGAGACGCGGAGGGUAGACAAGUCCAAAGGGUCGCAACUACACUCUUUUCUGCUCAAGGCUAUUGUGGUUAUGGAGGCCUAACUAGAGAAGCGGCUUCUAGACCCUGUUAUUUGGCAAAGGUUUCAUGAUUUAAUGGUUGGAAUUAGUUUAUCUGCCUCAGAGUUUAUUCUCUCCCUCUUGAUGUAGAUCCAAAGAUAGUAAGCAUUGAAUCAAGUAACUACCUAAACAUGACUCAAUAUUUGGAUAUAUUGCUCCAACUAAUUAAAACGUCAACCUUAGGCUGAGAUGAAGUAUAGGAUUAAAAUAUAUGUGAUAUAUCCAAUAUAUUAUCUGAUAUCUCCUUUUUUCGAAUGACCGAUAUAUUUAUAGGGGUCAAUAUCUUAUCUUCCACCGUAUCUACGAUAUUUCCCCGAUAUUUCUCCGAUACCAUUAAAUAUCUCAGAUAUUUAGGAAAUAUCUCUGAUAUUUAUGAUAUUUCCGAUAUAUCACCGAUAUAUUAAAAAAAUAUCUGUAAAAAAAAUUGAAAUGAUAUCCGGAAGAGAAGUAAUUCUCUCGAGGUAUAUCUCAAUGAAGAAUGUGGGUCUCGAGUGAUAUUUAAGAUAGAAGUAAUUCUCUCGAGGUAUAUCCCAAUGAAGAGUGAGGGUCUUGACUCUUGAGUGAUUUCCGGAAGAGAAAUUCCCUUGAGGUAUAUCUAGAAUAGAAGUAAUUCCCUUAAGGUAUAUCUCAAUGAAGAGUGUGGGUCUGGAGUGAUAUCUAGGAUAGAAGUUGUCAUGACCCACCCCGAAUUUCACCCUGAAACCAGAGGUAAACCCUGCGGGGACCACCUCCAAAAGAGAUUCUACCGAAAAAUCGAUAAAACCUUCCUUGAAAAUGGACAACCCUUCCUAAAACACCUGCAAGCACUUCUGAAAAUCAAAAAAAAAAAUAAUAUUAUAACCAACCACUCAUAGGUUCAGAGCCAUUCUAAUAGUGAAGAAAAAGAGACAGAAGCAUAAAGAUGAGCAGAAGCUAUGCUAUUGACUAUGCCUCGUCUCCAUGUACGUCCGACCUCAACUAUACUAACCUGCAAACUGGGCAUUUUUAAAACGAAGGGCCCAGGGGAAAACAUUUUAAAACGUUAAAGUGAGUGGACAAAAAUAAAUUAAUAAAUAAAAUAUUUAUGUUUCCCCAAAUCAAUUUUCAAAGAAAAAUCGAAUGCAUGAUGCAAGCGAUAAAACUUUCAUCUCAUAAUAUCGAGCCUCUCAGGCUCUAACAUAUAUGUAUGUAUUUACACACGUCUAUACUCCCUAUAUAAGUUCAUGGGUCUAUAUAGGGCUACUACGCUCGCAUCCAACGCUCACGUCACACCUUAAUGCGGUGCUACACUACGCCAUUAAGGUGGACAGACGGGUGUAUAAAUAUGUGUCCAUACCCCCUAUAUGAAUUAAACACUCAUAUAGGGUUACUAUGCUCACGUCCAACGCUCACGGCACACCAUAAUGCGGCUAUAUGCUACGCCAUUAAGGUGGACAGACACAUAUGGCUAGCUAGCAUUUAUAUACAUACUCUCCUCAAUAUACAUAUUUAUACUCCCCGAAAAAUCCUAUUUUUCGGUAACUGUCCAAGAGAAAUAAAAGCGUCAAAAUUAAAUGACGUCAAAACUCCAACAAUUUAAAUGUUCGACCAUGAACCAUAGCAUGCAUAUUAUUUAAAACAAAAGUCCACUCACAGUAUUAGGCCUAAGCCUUCCAAUGCUCGGCAUACUCCUCAAGCGUUGCCUCCACUAUUCACAAUCUCGAGUCAAUCCCACGUCUGAUGAUAAACAGCAGAAUAAAUCGGUCAAACCAGAUUCCGAAAUAAUCAUUGAUUCAACUUCUUAAAUUGACUAAGUAUCCUGGGUUGACCAGGAUUGACCGACAUAUAUUAAUAAUCAAAGUCACCAUCAAUUUCCAUGCCUUAACACAUUAACCAAAAUACUUCCAAAAUUAUUUUAUGAUCCCCUACGAUCAAACAUGCUCACAAACAAAACCAAGAAUUUCCUUCAUUUCCUCUCUACACAACUUCACCCUAAAAUUUACUAAGGGCACCCAAAAAGGGUUUUCAUAAAUAAGAAGUUUCCAAAAAAGGAAAGUUUCCUAAAAUAGAAACUUUCCUCACUUAGAAAGAUUUCCGAUUACAACCUACAAACUUUCCUAUUACUAAAACGACAUACAACGAAAAGGAAACAUCGAUCACUACCUCCAUCAUUUCUGCCAGCUCCACCCCUUGCUAGACUCUGGCGACUUGCCGGAAUAUUCUGCCGGAUUCCGGCCUCUUGCCGGAAUUUCACCAUGACCUCCCUCAAUUCUUCAAUACACCAAGUUCUCGACAAGCAACACCAAAAAUGCAUCCAAUCAGUCUGAAUAUCCACACAACAACUAUAUAACAUCAAAGGAGAUCAAGAUUACCUUCCAUCGAUCUCAAAUGUUAUCCCAAGAACUCUCCUGGUCCGGACUCAAUAUGCAGGACCCCCAAACAUCCACAACCGCUGCCUCAUUCUUCAUUGCGACAACACCAUUCACCUCGGAUCCUCUCCGGUCAAGCACACUAGACCACUGCCUCGGUCCCGAUCGAUAAGCAACUCCACCAAUGUCAGUCUCAACUUCACACCAAGCUCAUAGGACCUACUAAAAAGCUGAAGAACUCGCCAGAAACCACCGAGCGCCGGCCGCCGGAACUAGGAGCUCGAAACCCGGAAAACACAGAAAAAGGGGUUUUCAAUUAGGGCACGAUUUGGCGAAAAGAAAGGUACCAGAAGGUGAAGUAGGAAGAGAGGAAGAUAACCCUACCUCCCACUCGUCACGCCGUGGCCGGAAUCUCGAGGAUUCACCGGAAAACAGUCGAGGCUUCUCUCCCUUGGUUUGGCUUUGAAUCGGGCUAGAGUCGAGUGCUAUGGACCGGGUUAGAUAGAAGAGAAUGAGACGGUCAUGUUGAGACCGGUGUGGCGGUGAGUGGUGGUCGAAAUCGGCGACGAUGCGCCGGAGAAGACUGACGCAGCUGGAGAGAGGAAAGAGAGGCUGGAGCUCGGGUCAACGCCCGAGUGUGGCUUCUUGACUCGGUCAACUCUUCCCUUCCCUUUAUACUUGAUUUGACGGUUAAGAUCAAAACCCUAAAGAUCCGACGGCCAAGAUUAAAUGGCCAUUCUAAUUUCAGAAAAUUAAUUUCUUUUACCAAACCUUCAAUAAAUCGUAGAAAAAUACUUCAGAGCUCCGAAAAUAAACCAAAACGACCGGAGAACCCGUGUCGACACGAAUUACGACACCGAGACCUUAAAAGAAUAAUUUGACAUUUCCAGAAAAACUCGUAAAUAAACUUGAGUGUUAACUUACUAGGUUACCGAGCACAGUUAAAUUCCUCAGUAACUCGUAGAAUACCCAGUAAAUAGGUAAAAUUGGGUCUGGGGUGUUACAGAAGUAAUUCCUUUGAGGUAUAUCCCAAUGAAGAGUGAGCUAGGGUCUUGAGUGAUUUCCAAAAGAGAAAUAAUUCCCUCAAGGUGUACGUAUCCCAAUGAAGAGUGGUGGUCUCAAGAAGAUGAUGAUGAAGACGGUGGAAGCGGAAAAUGUGGUGGAAAUAUCAGGUUUGUAUAUGGACAAUCUUCUACAGUUGGUGGAUUAAACAAUUUUUCAUCUGAAGAAAAUUACGAUCAUGCCUCCCAUGAUCAUGGCUAUAGAAGUACUAAGUAUGGAGCGCAAGAGGAUACCAUGUAUGAGAGGAGGGACUAGAGGUCCAAAUGAUGAUCAAGAUAUUAUUUCAGUUGCGCUAAGUUUUGAGUUUAGGUAGUGGGAGUGUGGGACUGGAACCUCAAAUGAAUCCCAAGAUAACAAUCAAUAUGGUUAUAAUGUUUAUGGCUAUAAUCAAUGCACGGAAGUCAGUGAUCAGUCAUCCAGUUGGAUUCAUCUUUAUUAUCCAUUUAUAGGGGAAACAGUCGGCUGCUCCAAAGACAUAUAUGAUUAUCAUAUUCAACACUACAAUUCGUACUAUAUGAGUCAUAUGUUUUGGUCUGAUUAUUGUACUUUUGUAGACCAACGUGCGUCUUAUCAAUGACUUAGAUUCUCAUUCUGGAUGUUGAUGAAGUUGAUGUUUGUAAUAUUUAUAUGUAAAUCCAAUAAAUUAAAUAUUUCAAAAAAAAAAAAUUCUUUCCAAAAUCCCGAUAACUUUUCCCGGAUUUUCCCGAUAUAUCCGAUAUCUCUAUUUUUCAAAUGACCGAUAGAUACACCAAUACCGAUAUUUUAAUCCUUACUAUACCCUACUAAUCUCUAACAAUAAGUUGACUUCUAACUUCAAUGUCAAUGGGCAUCCUUAUGCUAAUAAUGAGUUAUUAUAUUUGUGCUCACAGGUCCUUAACAGAUAUCUAUUUCUUGAUCGAGAAAUCGAGAAUUAGAUUAUAUAUGAUGGGCAGGUGACUGCCUGACUGGUGAGCUAUGCAUCAUGCUAUCAUAGGGUGAAUGCAUCUCCGAUUCUCCAUUCAGUAUGCACCAUUGCAUCUCAACCAUUUACAACUAAUUAAUAUAUCUUAGAGAAGAAAUUAAACUUAGAGGUACCAAAACUUCAAGCCUAUGUAGUUACGGAAACUACUACAUUAGAGAAGGAUUAAUCUUAGAGGUACCAAAACUUCAAGCCUAUGAAGUUAGAAUUCCGCAGUUCUGUAUUUUAUGAUAACACAUAACUCAAUGACAUCUCUUUGCCUUCUAACUUCGGUAGUAUAAUAUUCAGUAUCGAGCUACGUGAUAAGCCUAUAAACUUAUCUAUUACUUUGCAUUGACUAGUACCAAUAAUCCAAACCCAUCAAUAAUGCAAAGUACUUAAAUCCUCUUAUCACCUCCUUAUGGUAAGGAGGAUAGCUACUGAUCGACCGUACGAGCUGGCUAGUUGAAAAUAGCUGAAUAAUUGAAGAACAAAUUAUAUCAAAUAGAACAGAUAUGCUUGAGACAUGUACACCAUCAAUAAAACAUCCAAGUCAAACACAUGAACCAGGGACUUCUACAUAUAAUGGAACGCAUCUCGCUGCUAGAAUUGUUGAACAUUCAACCAAUUAUCCUUACUUAAUAUAUCAUAAGGAUGCAUAUAAAAACAUAAUUAAGUAAUUACAAAACUAAAAAGAAAACGGAAUUAUAAGUAAAAAAAAAAAUAAAUAAUAUAUAUAUAUAUAUAAGACUAAGAAUUAAGCUUUGAUGACAUGAGUAUGCCACAUCAGCUGCCACGUCAGGUGGGCUGUAGGUGGUUCUCAAAUGGUGGUUCCCAAAUGGUGGUUCAUCUAGCAUUACUCUUCUUAAUAUCCAUUGUGGGAUCAUAUAUAGGUAAGACGAGUUGAUGUGAAUCCCAAUUACAAGUAUCGUCAAUUAGGAUAAUGAGAAUAAAAUUACGAUAUAUAUAAUUAAACUGGGAAAAUAUGGGAUAACUAUAGUUCAUUUACUGAACUGAAUGAUGAAAAAAUUUAAAUAAAAUCGAAUAUUUUACAUAUGAUCAACAUUGAAAGUGAUCGAUUUUAUAUCUCCUAUUUUGUUGGAGAUUCUGUCUUUGUACUCAUUCUUCAAAGUCAGCGUAGGAGUCGCUAUCGUUUGUCAGACAUACUGCGCACAAUGGGUGGCAAUUUGGACCCUGGCGAUACCAACCAACCAUGUACCAACCGUACCAAAUAAAUUGGUAUGCCAAGUAGUUGGUAACCGAGUUUUCGGUAGAGUAGUACUGUACCAAGUUUUAGAAGUCGGUUGGUACGUGGUACAAAUUUUUUCAAAAUACAGUAUACCAUGUACCAACCGAGUUAUAUUAAAAAUAAUAAAAAAUAAUUAAAACUACUGAUCUAAGCCGUUGAUCUGUGGAUGAGUGGAUCUAACCCUAAUCCUUAGUUGAACUAAGUUAGUUCCUUACUAUAUAGACUCACAGAGAGUCACUCUCGCGCUCGCCUCUCUCGACUCAUCUCUCGACUUCGCAGCACCCCCGCGGCUCCGUCACCUCAACUUCGCAACACCUCCGCGGCUCCGCCACCUCGACUCAGCUUCUCGCCACCUCGCCUCUCUCGUUGUCGACUCAGUAGCACCUGAGCUUCUUCCUUCUGCUUCGUUCGGUUUCCAUUUGUGUUUUUCAUUGUUGAUUUCAUAUUCCGCUUGCAGUUCAAGGUGAAAUCAAAGACUGCAGCAAGGAUUACGGUAUGAUUUGGAACUCAGAUAUUUGGGCUUCUUUGUUCUUAUUCGAUUCUUGAUCUUCAUAUUCAAGUAACAAUGAAAGUUUUCAUAUUUUGUUUUGGGAAUUGGUUUUUGUUUGCUGGGUUUGUCGAUUGGCAUACAGAUUUAAUCCAUAAAACAAGUUUGAUUGCAUAUGUCCACUUAUGCAUUACACAAAUUAAGCACUGGGUUUGUGUUUUAUGGGUUUACUCAAUUUCAAUUUCAGUCUGCUCUCAUUUUGCUGGUGGAAAUUCUUUUUGACCCUUCUGAUCAAGAUUUACAAUCAAGCUGCUGGUUGUAUUCUUGGUAUAUCAACUCUGAAAAAGGUAACUCUCUCUCAACUCCAUUCCAUUUUCCUUUUUUUUUUUAUGCCAAAUGAUAUGAUCUUGAAACCUAGGAGUUCUAUGUGACAUUCAUUAGUCUGAUAGCAAUAAUUUCAACUCAAAUUCAGUUUUUAAUUAAUGGAAUGUUUAAUAUUCUGUUUGAAUUUACAUAUCAGACAGCUGUAUUGGGAUGGAUUAAGGCAUUAAGCCUAGGAUUGAAGAGUUGGUUUAUAACUCGCAAUAGCUUUAUUUGUUAAUGUCAUGAUAUUGAUACACAAACAUAUAAUUGGUCGAAGCUUCAACAUCUGUUGCUAUCCAUAGUUAAUGUAAUUGUCAGAUUUGUACACAGGCUUCUCUUUUUACCUUUUUUAUAUUUUGUCGUGGUUUCUAAUAGAAAGUUUGAGACCGCUUUUACAAUGGUGAUAGUUGCAGUCAUUGAUUAUAAUUUAUGACUGUUAUCUAUCAAUCUAUGUGNNNNNNNNNNNNNNNNNNNNNNNNNNNNNNNNNNNNNNNNNNNNNNNNNNNNNNNNNNNNNNNNNNNNNNNNNNNNNNNNNNNNNNNNNNNNNNNNNNNNNNNNNNNNNNNNNNNNNNNNNNNNNNNNNNNNNNNNNNNNNNNNNNNNNNNNNNNNNNNNNNNNNNNNNNNNNNNNNNNNNNNNNNNNNNNNNNNNNNNNNNNNNNNNNNNNNNNNNNNNNNNNNNNNNNNNNNNNNNNNNNNNNNNNNNNNNNNNNNNNNNNNNNNNNNNNNNNNNNNNNNNNNNNNNNNNNNNNNNNNNNNNNNNNNNNNNNNNNNNNNNNNNNNNNNNNNNNNNNNNNNNNNNNNNNNNNNNNNNNNNNNNNNNNNNNNNNNNNNNNNNNNNNNNNNNNNNNNNNNNNNNNNNNNNNNNNNNNNNNNNNNNNNNNNNNNNNNNNNNNNNNNNNNNNNNNNNNNNNNNNNNNNNNNNNNNNNNNNNNNNNNNNNNNNNNNNNNNNNNNNNNNNNNNNNNNNNNNNNNNNNNNNNNNNNNNNNNNNNNNNNNNNNNNNNNNNNNNNNNNNNNNNNNNNNNNNNNNNNNNNNNNNNNNNNNNNNNNNNNNNNNNNNNNNNNNNNNNNNNNNNNNNNNNNNNNNNNNNNNNNNNNNNNNNNNNNNNNNNNNNNNNNNNNNNNNNNNNNNNNNNNNNNNNNNNNNNNNNNNNNNNNNNNNNNNNNNNNNNNNNNNNNNNNNNNNNNNNNNNNNNNNNNNNNNNNNNNNNNNNNNNNNNNNNNNNNNNNNNNNNNNNNNNNNNNNNNNNNNNNNNNNNNNNNNNNNNNNNNNNNNNNNNNNNNNNNNNNNNNNNNNNNNNNNNNNNNNNNNNNNNNNNNNNNNNNNNNNNNNNNNNNNNNNNNNNNNNNNNNNNNNNNNNNNNNNNNNNNNNNNNNNNNNNNNNNNNNNNNNNNNNNNNNNNNNNNNNNNNNNNNNNNNNNNNNNNNNNNNNNNNNNNNNNNNNNNNNNNNNNNNNNNNNNNNNNNNNNNNNNNNNNNNNNNNNNNNNNNNNNNNNNNNNNNNNNNNNNNNNNNNNNNNNNNNNNNNNNNNNNNNNNNNNNNNNNNNNNNNNNNNNNNNNNNNNNNNNNNNNNNNNNNNNNNNNNNNNNNNNNNNNNNNNNNNNNNNNNNNNNNNNNNNNNNNNNNNNNNNNNNNNNNNNNNNNNNNNNNNNNNNNNNNNNNNNNNNNNNACCUUGACCUCCAUCAAAUGAAGGUGGGUAAAAACUUGAGAUUGGUUGAUAUGGUCCUAACACCACAUAAGCUCUUCGAAUACUAUCACGCUCAUUCAAAGGAUACUUACAUAUCGGAAGCCGUAAUCCCGGAUCACGUUGAAGAGAAUUAAUAUCAAACCUCUCUUCUCCCACUAGAGAAGAGUUCAAAGUGACAUCAUUAACAGAAUUUUCAGUCACAUCUCUACAGCCUCUACUGCCACUAGGCCCACUCCCACUCCCUAUCUGACUAUCAUUGACACUAUCACUUGAUAGAAUACUACCAGGAGUAAACCAUGAGAACAAAUUUUUGUACCUUUUGCUUUUCCGACCAUCCGCCAUCACCUUUUGGCACAUGACAGUCUGCAGAACAGCAGAACUCAAUCCAGUAAUCCACUAUGGAUUCGCAACAUUCAUUCUGUAUACAACAAGGGGAACUUGUCUCUGUUAAUUGAAGUUCAGUCAAAGUUGUCUUAGCAUAAAAAUUGAAAACCCCCAAUUGAAGCAUAGAGAAACAAGAGAAUCUCAAUUCAAGAUUGAAAGCUAAAAAGAAACAAUGAAUGGGUGAUUGGGUGUUAAGGAUUUAGUACCGGGCUUUGAAAUUGAUUGAAUAAUAAGAAGAUGAGAUGAGCUGAGAGGAGAGCAUGCCAUGGUCCCUUGCAGCGCUGAAGAUGUGAAGAACCCUUUAGGACUAAAGGCUAUGCGAAGUGAAGGACUAAAGGCUGCUGGCUGCAAAGUGCAAACGAAUUAACCCUCUUUAGCGAUGUCGCCGAUGUGGUCAUGUGGAUAGCUGAAUAAGUGAAGACCAAUCUGCAGAACCCUUUUGUUUGUGUGCGAAGUGAAGCUGUGAAGGACUGAAGGCUGCAACAGAUGUAAUUAUGUAAACCUCCUUCUAUAUAUAUAUAUUUUUUUUUCAAGUGUAGUGGGCUGAAAUAUAUAUAUACACCCAUACUUAGAGGUUUUUGGCCCAAAUUUCUCUAUGGGCUGCAGCCUAGGUAGCCCUAGGCUUGGAUCCGCCCCUGUGUGUUCUAUGCUCUGUGUUCUCACAUUAUGGUAGAGAACCCUUACAAUCUCAUCUGAUCUGAAACACUGUGAUAAAGGUUAGAGAGAAUGAGAGAGAAGAAGAAGAGGGUAAGGUUUGAAUGAGGAGAUAGAUAGAGAGAUAGACUGCAUUAACUAGUCUUUCUUGCAUUAAGUUGUUGGUUUUGGUUUUUUUUUUUUUUUUCUAUAAUGAGUAUAAUCAAUGAUGUUGAGCUAUUUGUGUUUGUACAAUUUGUGCUAUCUAUAAUAUAAUCAAUGAUUUGUGUUGUGUUUCGCAUAGGCUAUGUUGCAGAGUGGUUGUAUAUGUAAUUCAAGCUCAACACCAUCAUUUCCAUCUGUUGCAAAUGAGGAGAUGACUGCCGGUUUACAUUCUUCACCAUCAACAACAUCUCUGCCACCUCUGCCAGCAACACCAUCUUUUUAGCUUUUGUCCAAGGCUUUGAGGCAACAAGAAACACACCUAUUAACACCUCUGUUCAGACUGGUGUUUAGCAGUCUAGCACUCUCCUGGCCUCACAGCAUCAAUCUUUCCCUGCUAAUCUGAACUUUUGUGUUUUCAUUAGACAUGUGUUGUUUAAUUUUCUGUAUAAGACUUUGGACGUUGUUGGCUUAUUGCAUUUGAACUUUUGAAGUUUUGAUCUUGCUUGUUUAUGCAUUUGAAAUUAUAUGAUGUGUGAAACUUUGAAUGUGUUUGAACUUUGAAUAGUUUUAUAAUUGAUAGAAGUUUGGUACAGGCCCAAAAAAAGGAUUUAAAUGGGCUGGGCCUUUCAGUUUGUUAGGCCUCAAUCUAAACUUGGUAGAGGCCCAAUACCAACAGUACCAACCGAGUACCAACCGUACCAACUAAGUUGGUAUACCAACUUUGACGGUUGGUUUUGGUAUAAGAUUUUGCCUACCAAUCUUAAGUUGGUUGGUACAUGGUAUUGGAAAAUAAAGUUGGUAUACCUACCAAUGUCAGCCCUAGCACAAUGAUACAAGGACUGUAUGAGCUAGCAAGUGAAAGAUCACCCAUCUUAUUCCUCAUCGAGAAAAAAAGAUCACCCAUCUCAUUUGUCUUAUUGGUCUUUCGUUGACUUGCAAAUUGUAAUGUUUGGAAUGUUUUCUUUUUUCAAUGGCCGGUGUAGCGCUGGAAUGUUGCCAACUAUAGAUGGAUUAGAUGCAGAAUCUCAUAAUAUCGCUUAGACACAAUAAUAAUCUCCUUUUUUCGAAGAUAUUUGUCAAAAUACACGAGGUAAUGGUGUAUGUAUGAUAAUAAUUAAUCUCUUUUAAUGAAUUACGUAAUGUAUAAUCUUUGAAUAUUUGAACUAAAGCGGCCGUUUUCAAAAUCUAGGGCUCGGAACCCUAGAACCAAAUCUGCCGCGUAUAUAUGUGGACGUCUUCACUGAAUGUUUAUCAUGAUUUUUUCUUAUAAGCACACUAUUUUUCUCUUAAAAAAACUUUAUUAACAUAUCAUUAAUUACUAGAUACACAUAUCAUACUUAAUACAACACCUAUUGUUUAAACAUGUUACUAGAUACACAUACCCAAACUUCUUACAAUUACCCUCAUUUUAAAUACACAACACGUUCACUAAAUACACAUACUUUUCUAGAUCUGUUACUCAAUUUAUUCAAAACAAAAAAAGUUUACAUUAAUAAUGUUUUUUUUUCAGGUUUCAUCUUUCUUCGUACUGUUUCAUCUCAUUGACAUCUUCCUCGAAAGUUUUUAUUUUUCCAUAAAGGGUUUUAUCUGGUUAAGAUAUUCCCCGAGGGAUUUCCUUUUGUUAAUAUCUUCUCUCAAGAAGCCUCUUACUCAAACUGAUUGCAAGAAUUCUUGAGCCUACCGAAUCAAAAUAAAACAAGACAAUACAUCACCAAAGUUCUUAAUUAAUGGAACUUUCAGCAUUAGAAUGCUCAAUCCCGUGUAAAUCUAAAUUAAUCUAUUAUUCUUAAGAAACAUUGUAUAAUAUUCAUAUGUUGUGUCAAAAUAUAUGGUACUUGAUUCAAGCUAAAAAUUAAAAUGUGUUAGAAGUAAAAUAGCAUACAAAAAGAGAUCAUUUGAUUCGAAUGUCUCUUUUAAUAAUUUUACGUACUUCAAAGUCUUAUAUAAUUUGUAUAAAAAAAAAUAUAUGUAUCUAGCAUUUAGAGAUGUGUUGAUAAAAUUUAUUUUCUCUCUACUCACACACCAUUUACUGAAUAGAACAUUUAAGAAUUGACUUCUUCAUUCUUGGUUGGCUUCAUAUCGUUAUGGAGGGCAUCAUCUACGGUCUUGAUUCCUUGAAGAGAUUUGCCUGAUGAGAAUCUUGGUGCAUUACAAAAAAAGGUGAAGUUGCCCAAGAUAAUUUUAAAGGUCAGUUUAAUCAAAUUAGAAAUAUUUGUUUCACUAUAUAAUUAAAAGAUCCCAGAAGAUUCAAGGUGAUUGAUUAUGUCAUCUUAUUUGAUUAUUGUUGAUGACCAGGUGUUGUGGUACGCUAUGACAAUGAUUAAUUACUCCAUGGGUGGGUGUGAGUUGUCUUAUUGAUAAUGUCAUUUCCGAAUAUUUGCAAGUUAAUUACUCCUUUCAUGACAAGUGAUUCAUACAAUAUUCAUCACAUGCAAGUGCAUCUGAUCUCGAAAUAUCUAACUUAUUUUAUUUAAAUGAACAUAAAUCUUGUUCGUAAAUAUGAAUCUACUCUUUUCUUCUUCUUUUUUUAAAUUCAGUUUAUCCUCAAAAUUUUUGAUGUCAAAAUCAGUUCAGUCCUACAACUCUUUUUUAAAUCAGUUCGCUUAUUUAACUUUUGUAAACACAUCAGUCGGUCCAACUUUUGAAUUCCUUUCGAAAUGUGACGUCACCAAAGCCGUUGGAACUGAUAAGGGGGCCCAUAAUUCAACUUUAUCCCCUCAUUUUUAACUAAAUGUCUAAAAUACUCUCAUUAUUUUUUAUUAUUUUGUCAAAUAGAUGCAUUUUUUUUAUCUUUAGUAACAAUAUUUUGUUAAAUUGGCUAUUUUACCCUUCUGAAGAGUGAUAAAACAAAAUUAUGGGUCACUUUAUCAGUUCCAACAACUUUGGUGACAUCAUACUUUGAGGGGGAUUCAAAAAUUAUACCUGACUGAUAUGUUUACAAAAGUUGAAGGGGCGAACUGAUUUAAAAAAAAAAAUUGCAGGACUGAACUGAUUUUGACACCAAACAUUUAGGGGGGGGUAAACUGAAUUUAUUUUUAUUUUUUAAUUUAAUAAAGGGCUGAUGCACUAUCCUUAUGCAUUCAUUAAUGAAACUAUCAAAUAUAAAAGGGGAGGGGGGACAUAAAACAUGAACCUCUGAUUACAAUAAAGUCUCGACACAUUAUCGAAAAUAUCUAUAAAGUACAUAUAUUCAAACAAGCACUGAUGGAAUUCCUACAAGUAUACAGGGUGGACGUAGCAUAGUGAAUGGAAGAAAAUGGGUUGUCGUUCCCACGAGGAUCUUUGGUUUAAUUCAAAUUAUGAAAUACCUCACUAAAACACAAGAUCACGAUAACAAUUUAAAGAAACAAACAAACAAGAAAAUAAGUAAACAAACAAUGAUGAAUGAAUCUAGGGUAUCAGAAUCAACCACAAGCAAUCUUAUCUACGCCUUGAUGCAACUAAAGGAUUCUAUCGGAUAUCUAUAUGACAAUUCUCAUAUCUAAGUCCCUCUCAGGUACUGUAGACUAUAAUUUUCCUCAAGUGUAUGAUGUUCUCCCUCUCGGGUAAAGAUCGUAUAUCCUAACUAUGCAGUCUAUCAUUCUCAGGUAUAAAUUUAACAUGCAGGACUCAUUACGUACUAGAAAAUAAGGGAAUCAAGCAAACCAUUAUUCUUUCUCAAGCAAUAACGUAAUUCACCAUACUCAAUCACAACAAGCUAAAUAAAUUAUAUUGCAUCUCUGCUUCAAAUUUAUCUUCCAAUGGUGAUCAAUCAAAGAACUUAAACAUAAAACAUAAAAUCAAACAGUGAUCAAGCAUUCAUCUAAGAGAAACCAGAAUUCAUUAAUUAAUCAUCAAAGAUGUAAACAAUCAUGCUAGAGCAUCAUCCUAACCUUAGAAAAGGUUUAACAAAACAUGACUAAGGAAAACAUAAAAAGAAUGGAAAGGUGAAGGGUGGAUGGAUCUCUGCUCCUUUAGGUGUCUUCAAUGUGCUUUCGAGACCUCUCUUUCAUGUGAAAUUCGUGCUCCCUUAAAUAGAGAAGUUUCUUGCUCAUCUUUGGCUUAAAGUUUCCUUGUAAGACUUGGAUUCAGACUCCUUUCUUGAUAUGGAAUGGGAAAACCUUGAGAUAUCUCUUGUAGAACUAGGAAUACAUGUACUCCUUGAAUCCUCAUCUGCAUUAUUGUCCUUGAAACUUUAGGGUUAACGGUCUUGUGACAUGGAACUUGAGUUAUGCACAAAUGUUUGCCAAUCCGAGCAAAUUUUCUGAUCUGACCUUUCUUCAUUCAAACAAUCAUAACUCGUUCUAGAAGUAUCGAAAUCGAGAUCUGUAAACUUCUACAGAAAUUAGACUUCCAUAGCUUUGUAAUGAUAUAAGGUUCAUAGUCUGAUUCGAUAUGAGUAAUUCCCAGUAAUUCGGCGAAGUUGGAUGUUCUGCAUAGGCAGAUUCUGACACUUGGAUUGCAGUGGCCUUUCAAUCCUGAUUUGCGCAUUUUAGCUCAUUUUCUUCUCUUUACGACACAAACCUACAAGAACACUAAAAUAACAAAAAUCAAUCACAAAUAAGGAAACUAAAUGCAAAAACAAAGAUUAUGAGGCAUAUAAUUCUAGGAUAAUAUGAGCACAUCAAGCACCUACUAGUAAAGAGUAUUAUUCUAAUGACGACUCCAUUUGUUUUGAAAUAACGGUGACAUAAUGGAAUUAGUUGACAUGUAACACGAGCUACAUAUUCUAAUGUCUAAUAAGAUAGUUUUCCUAUUAUGUUGUCGUUUGAGAAUAAACCUGACGACACUUAAUUUCAUCCUGCCACUAGGAGAUUGCGACCAUUUGACCAAGCAAAAGAUAUGCCGCAUACCUAGAGCAAAUAUGGCACACAAGGUGCAUAGACCGGCAUAAGGCCCUUCAUGCUCUACCAUUAAUAGAUAGGGUAUUAUUUGCGGCAUGGACCCGCUUAGUAAUAAAAAUAAAAUGUAAUAAAACAUAAAUACCAUAAUAAAAUAAUUAAAUAAUAUGGGUCAAGACCCAAAGCCCAAAACCAAAACAUAGCAUUUCCAAGCCCAAAUCACAUAUUGCAGCAGCCACGCCGCCACGUCACCGACGUUUCCCAUGACACUCCAUCACAAACAACCCUACGUCCCUACCACCGAUGCCUGCUUCUCCCUUCAAACUGAUCACCAAACCCAUAUCAGAACCCGACUUCCAAAGCCACGUCGGAUCUCGCCGAAACGAGCCGAGGGGAGUAGAUCCUGGUAUCGACGCCUCCCUUAACCACCCACCCAGCCCAGUCUCAUCGCUAGGGUACAACGAUCGCUUCUCUGCCUUCCUACCACCCAACCACCUUCAUCCAUCCUCAUCUGUUCAUCUGAGAGCUUUCGUCAUCGACGACGUACGCGAUGUUUUGCAAGCGCCCCUUCAAUUCGACUGGUGCUUCUUCUAUGGGACUUGAGGUCCUUUCUUCUGGCCCGUUCGGCGACGCUGCCCUGAAGGCGCGCCGCCGCCAGACAGGGCAUGUCAAAUGGGUGGGGUGGGUGGGGGUGAGUUCUUCGGCUAGGAUUUUUUUUAAAGAUGACGGGUGUGUAUCGAUGGAAUGAAGGAAAUAGGAAACGUACACCAAAUGUCUGAAACACUACAAAUAUGACUCUUGCAGACUUCAUGCAACGACAUAAUUUGAAACAGCCAUGAAUGAGAAAUCUAAAGCAAACUCUAGACUACACAAACAUAACUUAACCAUGAGACGAAGCUCAAGAUGCAGAAAAUAUUUGAUAUACCACCAGGGGAAGCCUCCAAACACAAUCAAAAUUCCUCGAAACACACAAGGUUAUUCUAAUUAAGGCUCAAAAUAGAUAUAUAAAAAUAAACUUUUUUGCCCCGCCAACCGUAAACUAUUAAAAAAUACCAAAUUGUAGGCCUGUAAGCCGUAACCACUAACCAGUACACAAAACCAGAGCGCAAGAACAAGGGACCUAAGCUCUAGACUUUCUAAUUCUAAUACUUUUAUUGAAAUUUUUUAACCCACUGUUUACACCUAAAUUAAUAUUUUAUUAAACAGUAAUUAUCUAAGUGAAUACUAAUUAAAGUCAUAGUCUACGUCACACUUGCGAGCCCAAAAUAUUGGGUUUACUAGUAAUGGCCCGCCAAGAGAAGCAUGUGAGCUAGUCGGUAAAGUUCGCCUGAGUCUAAGAGUUUGCAUGCGAAGAAACUAGCAUGCGAGCUGGUGCAGAAACCUUCACACACAAGGAGUUAAGUUUCCAUGCGAACUAGACAGUUUGUAUGCGAGGAGAUCUUUUUGCAUUUGAGGUGGAGGACUUCGCAUAAGAGAGGGAGUCUUGGACAUGGACUUCGCAUAGAAGACAUAUGCAUGCAAGCGAGAAGGUAGUUGCAUGUGAAAGGGAUAAGGAUAUGUUGUAUUUAGAUGUGGUAGAGCGGGACAAAAGCAAUACUUAUCCUUAAUUGUUGUUUAAUAAGGAAUGAUCAUAUGUGCAACAUGGAUACAUGAGGUCCAGUGUGUGCAUGGCGGAGUCAUAUGCGAAGAGAGGAGUUCGCCUAAGAAAAGGAGACCAAAGUGGCGCGAGCUGAUUUAAUGUUUAAUUGAAGAAGGGAGCCAACACUUAUUCCUAAAUGGCUCCAUGCAUGUCAAGGAGUUUGCAUUGGUUAAGAAUGUUAUCCCUUAAUUGCAUAUGUUUAGGUACCUGCAGAUCUAGGAUUACACGUCCAGAAGGUUCGCGGGCUAUCCUAUAGUCUAGAAUAUGAUCAUAUCAAGAGGCAACGAUCACGGUGUCUACAAUAUCUCAACGUUGAAGACUUCUUCAAAUCUUUGACAUGCUUUGGGCCAAUACUUGUGGCCCUAGAAUAACUUUAUAUAAAGGAGUUCGAGGAUACUCUCUACACACACUCAACAACUCAACAAAAAUACAAUACAAUUCUCGACCUAGUCGAACCUCCGGACGCUAAAGCAUCUCGACUUAGCAACCCUUUUCCUUUCAAGCUCCCCGAAGCUCUGUCUCUUUACUCUCCAGGCUCCCCAGAGUCCUUGCACCCUUUACUUUUCAAGCUCCCUGGAGCUCCCUUGCGUUCUCGUUUUCCUUUACUUUGGUUGCUCUGCUCGCUACAACUGCGAGUAUCGAUAUUGGUGGUGGAGAAGCUACUGUAAAUCCUCGUCCGCGAGGUGGCACCGGAGCCCUACUUUCGUUUGAUUAGAAGCACAUGUCAGUGCACUACAACAUCAACCCUACUACAUUCCGUAUCAGCGCGGUGCACCCCUACAUCCCUAGAAGCAUUGACUGCUACCAUCUCUCUCCCUGCUGAGGAUUGUGGGAAACACCCACCCCACACUUUACAUAUGUUUGUGGAUAACUCAUGACCUCUAUAGUGUCAUAAGAUAGCUAACCAACAAGCCAUGCAUGACUCAUUGGCAUAAAAAUAGUUCUAGACUUUGUAUCUUCCUUAAAACAGUCUUAGAGUAGCUCAUGUGCUCAUCAUUCAGUACAUCAAGCAGGUUUUUUAAGUAACCAAAGCAACCAUCUCGUAAUAAUCAAACUUGGUAUCAACAAUUAGGAUAAUGAUCAUAAAGAAAGCAUGCAUUAGAUGAUAGACUUCUUUAAACCGGCAACCUGUGAAAUAAUAUUAAAAAGUUAGGUUGGAGGGAAAAUUUUACAAUGUAUUAAUACAUGACAUACAUCAAUUUUGUUCUAAAGUUCGUAUCAAAAAAAACUUUGUUCUAAAGUUGUAAAAUAAGUUAUCAAAGUGAUAAUACUAGUCCUCUGUAGUCGGUACUAAGGAACCACCUUCUAGGCCCAUAGACCAGUCGGGAACCCACCUGCAUGAGAAUGGAAUAGGCCCAUGCUUGCUAACUAUAUGUGUUGGGGCAUAAACCUGUAAACGGACCGGAUCAUGAUCCGGACCCGCUCCGGACCCGUGGUUUUUAAACGGGUUCUAAAAUUUGACCCGUUGAUCCAUUAUUGACUCGGACCCAUUAACUCGUUUAUUAAACGGGUUGGAUACGGAUCUAGGUUGAUAUGAUCCGUUAAUGGCCCAGUCCGUUUUAAAAUAAUUAAAUAAUACUUUUAUAAGAUAUAAUAUUAUUGAAAAAAUAUCAAAUAAUAUAAUAAUACUCUUAAUAACCUAUGCUUUUUUUGUAAUCUUAUCUAAAAACAUUGGUGGUUUAGUAUUUUGGUUAUAUUAGUUUACCAUUAAGGAGUAUUUUGGCCAUGUAAUUCAACUUUUAAUGUAAAUCUUCAUUUCGUAUAAUAUUUCAUUAGUGUUUUAUGAGAAACUAUGGUAAAAUUCUAAAAUUAUUAUUCAAAAUUUUAAAAUAUCUAUUUUUAUAAACGGAUCGGAUUAACGGGUCUGGUAUCCGUUAACCCGCCAGAUACGGAUUUGAAUCAAGCUAUCAAAGAUCCGACGGGUAACAGGUCAGGUCCGGAUCCAAAAUUUUAAAUUACUAAACAGGUCCGGUUCUAUGUUGAUCCGGUCCAUUUACAUGUCUAAAUGCAAAGGCAACCAAAGAAAAUCUGUGUAAACAAACAGAUGACAUUUGUCCCACAUCGAUAUUGAAAAAAAAUGGUGCAAGUAUGCAUUUUAUACUUUUGAAAUUUGUUUUUCUAAAAUCUGGGUUAGUAUUUUGGACAUUUUAAUGAAAUGAGCUGCGGGAGAUUUCACCAGUAAGGCCUCUAUACAAGUAUUUCACAAAGUAAUUUUUGUUUCUUUUACUUCAUUUUUUCCACUGAAGAAUCACUCUGGUCAUAACUAAAUAUGGGUUUAAUUGUUAUGUUUUUUUCCAUUAAACCAACUUCCUUUUGGUUCUUGUGUUAUGCAGAAUCUUGUAUCCAUGAAACAUCUAUUGCUGGUGAAAACUAUCUGUCUUAUAAGUGUAUUACAGUCAAUUGGUCUUCUGGUUCAGUUUCUUAAAUUUAUAUAAAUAUAUAUAUUUUAAGAGAAAGGAUUCAAAAAAUUUAUGAGUUAUGGCUGGAAAAAAGGAUAUCAUUCACUUGCAACCAGUGAAAUAAUUUAUGAUAGUCUCAUUGGAUGAUUAUGGAAGAAUAAGCAUAAGCUAAUCAGUCUAGUAAGAAAUCAUAAUUCAUAACGAUAAACUCUCUAUUCGUUUUCUUUUCCGUGGGUACAACAUAAUUUACAUGAAUCCUGAAUUUGUUACUAUGUUGAUGUAAAUCGAAUAUGAGAACAUGUUCUUUUAGCCUCCUUUAAUCCUUUUAGAUGCCUUUACAUUCAUGGAAUCAAUGUCAUCAUGGAUUGUAUUAUAUUUUUUGUAGGUUGUAAUACAUUUUUUUGAUAUAGAAAACCUCUUUUCUCUUCCUUUUGCUUUCAGUCCUGGAUGCAGAGGUAGGAUGUCUGAUUUGGAGUCUAGGGAAGGGUGCUGUACUGCAGUUUGUCAUGGGCACAUCAAGAUAUCCAUCGAGGAAAACAAGGUCUAAUUCAAUUACUGUAAUCUAUUUAAAUUGUAUAAUUGGGGAGGAAAAAUCGUUAGAAACUAAAUGGAAAAGAUUGUUCUUGAUAUAAAAUGGGUCUACCUUGAAGUAGGUCUGAAGGUAGAAGCCUUCUCUUCCCCUUGUACUAUAAUAGCUGCUAUGAUUGCUGCAAUGAAUUAUUAGUACCAGUCUGAAGGUAGAAGCCUUCUCUUCCCCUUGUACUAAAAAUGUCAAAACUGUUGAUGGAGUUGGACAGAAAAUAUCCAAAUCUUUUUGUUAAAAAAAAAAAGCUAUUCUCUUACCAUAUUACAUUGUCUUUGUUCACUUCAAUCAAAAGUUAGAGCGUAUAGAGAAUCACAGCAUAACUUUUAGCUUGCUGGUCGUCUUCCCAUCUGGGGAUCUGAUGUUUAUGUAGUCUCCUUUCCUCUGUUUCAAAUGGAGGCAUUAAGUUUUGUUUGUGAAUAAUCGAGUGUUAUAUGGUUAACUGGCCAACUUGUCAUUUGUUCCUGGGGCUUUACAAUUUAUCUUCUUUUUUUUUGUUACAUGGAGGGGGGAUAAGAGCCCCAAAAACAAUUCAAAGCUUCAUAUUAGACCUUGAUUAGUAGUGCCAGCAUAUUAUGAAUGAGUGAAUUUUCUUUAGGAAUCAGAACUGGUCUUUCAAGAUUUGCUUUCUAGUGUAAGUAGAGAAUAUGGUAACCCCAACAGUGAUGCUUGGCUGCUUGCACACAAACUAUGCCAAACUUAAUUUUCAUAUGUCUAGAAGAUGCUUAGGCAAAGCAAUUUUUGCUUUUCUAGGCAAACCCAUUCUCAUAUUUUGGAAUAACCGAACUUCAGUUCUACCUGAAGCAUAGUUAUUUCUAGGCAACAAGCAAAACUACAUUAGGAUUCUGUUCAUAUCCUCUAGCCUCAGGGGAAUGGCAUUCCAUGAAAACAAUACAUUUCGCAGAAGCCGAAAGUGGCGCGGGAGAGGCUGUUCAACUAAUCUGAUUCAAGAAAUCCCCUUUCCGAAGAUGAAUUUGUUGGUUAAAGUAGCUCUACAGCCCCUUUAAGAACAUCAUUUACCCAUUAGUUCAUCAGGCAAGAUUGUUUUACUAGUAUUCAAGAAGCCCCUCUUAAAAUGUUGUCCUGCAAUAUUAUUGUAGAAAAUCUUUGCUUGUUUUGUUGGAAGGUUGAUCUAGGAAUGGAUACCUGGGAGGCUGGGACUGAUAAGGAUACAACUUGGGGUCGAUCUAAACCCAGUUAAGAGCCUAAACUGCAUACAACACCGGAAUCUCUCCUUGGACCUCUGCUCUAUUUCCUUGGUGUGGAGGCCAUUGUGAACCAAACUAUAACUAUUGUGUUAUAUGUAUAGGUCAAGAACGAUUGUUUUAGGGGAGAAUCAGAGUACUAGUUAGUGACAUAGACACUUCCCUAAGUGCUUUCCUUUACAUGAUUCCUAACCAUUUGAAAAUAACAUAUCCACAUUUGAGUAACUAGCACGUUCAUAUGGUUUUAAACAAGAGUUGCUCAUUGCUAUGUAAUAGUUGCCGAUGGCACUUUUGAAGUGACAUAGACACUUCCCUAAGUGCUUUCCUUUACAUGAUUCCUAACCAUUUGAAAAUAACAUAUCCACAUUUGAGUAACAAGCACGUUCAUAUGGUUUUAAACAAGAGUUGCUCAUUGCUAUGUAAUAGUUGCCGAUGGAAUCGAGUUGGUUCAUCUCUAUAUAUGCUGAAUUCCUUCUGGGAGAAACAUGCAUGAGAGUUAGAAAUUAGAGUCUACACUAGAAUAUCCUUCUGGGAACUCGAAUAUGACCAUAUUGGUUACACCUUAGGAAAGUAGGAAUCAAAAUAUCAAAGCCAUGCCGGCUAAAGUUGGCGUGACUUGCCGAUUGAACUCGCACCCUGGAUACUUCAUAUUCUCGUACUCGCAAUGUCAUAUCACCUAAUUCGAUUCUUACAAAACUUCAUGAACAAACAAGCACUACAUACCAUAGAUUAUAAUGCAUCCCCCCCUCCUAUACAUCUCAGUUGAGACUUGUGGUGUGCCUUACUUGGAUGACAAUGUGAAGGUCGUUUAGGUCCAGAUCAACUAUUUUUAUGCGACAAACAAACUGGUUUUUGUUAUAGAUUGAGACUUCCACUAGUCCCUCAAUUGGGUGGCAGAACUCGAAGAAACAAAGGAACAAGGAAAUUAUAAAAACCACAACGUAUAUAUGCCAUAUAUUUUGAAGUCGACAGAGACCUACAUAUAACAUAUAUAUGAUUUUUCUGCAAAUUGGAGUAUUCUAAAGGACAAGAGGACAGCCUCAUCAACAAGUGCCCCGUUUGAUAAAGACAUUGGAUUAAGAUAAUUACAAAGCUAAUGGUCGGACAAAACUUUGUGUACACGUACAUAUCACAAUGGUUAUGUAAGAAUUACUUGAAUGAUUGACCUAACUCACCCUUGUAACAAACAAUUGGGGGGAAAGUUUUCUCUCUUUAAUUUCAUCACUAACAGUCUAAGUGUCUAACACAGUGAUCAUUCUGGAACAAAGAAGGAAAAAAAAAAAAAGUCUAACACAGUGAUGCUAUAGAUUAAUUAAGCAGGAAAAUUAGU
rnacentral:lncRNA from 1 species